rnacentral:rRNA from 1 species
UACGUAGGGUGCGAGCGUUAAUCGGAAUUACUGGGCGUAAAGCGUGCGCAGGCGGUUUUGUAAGUCUGUCGUGAAAGCCCCGGGCUCAACCUGGGAAUUGCGAUGGAGACUGCAAGGCUUGAAUCUGGCAGAGGGGGGUAGAAUUCCACGUGUAGCAGUGAAAUGCGUAGAGAUGUGGAGGAACACCGAUGGCGAAAGGCAGCCCCCUGGGUCAAGAUUGACGCUCAUGCACGAAAGCGUGGGGAGCAAACAGG